CCCUUCUAGAUUAAAUCCCUGGUUUUCCAUCCUCAAACGGGAAGAAAAUUAGUUAAAUCUGAAAGUAACUCAGAACGAAAUCGAAAAAGCUUCUUGAUCUGCGGGACAGGCCAUACGGCGACAAGGAGAAGUGGCGAGAAGCUCUCUUCCCCUCCUCUGAAUCCGAAAAGGAGCAACGGAAUCACGACCAUAAAAGAAAUGAGAAAGAAUCGAAUAAGUUUCAGGAGGCAAAAAGAAGUGGAGAGAUAGGGAGUUGCGGGUGAGGAUCUAAGACGACGGGGAGGGAGAACGGUGG
rnacentral:lncRNA from 1 species